rnacentral:rRNA from 1 species
GCUACUGCUAUCAGAGUUCGAUUAAGCCAUGUUAGUCGAGGGAGCCUCUUCUUCGGAAGAGGCAACCGGCGGACGGCUCAGUAACACGCAGACAACUUACCCUUGGGACCGGGAUAACCCCUGGGAAACUGGGGCUAAUACCGGAUAGUGCAUCGAUUGCUGGAAUGCACGAUGUUCGAAAGCUGAGGCGCCCAAAGGAUAGGUCUGUGGCCGAUUAGGUUGUUGUUGAUGUAACG